UCUCCACAGAAGACUAUGCUGAAAUUCUGUGACUCCCCCACCUGUCAGAAUGGGGUCUAGUGCCGCGCCAAAGAGGGAAGCCCCAGCGAAUGGAGCCGAGGUGAGUGCCAACUUGGAUUUGGGAUCGACAUUCCAAGACUUCAGCCACAAAAUCCUGCGAACCGCCACGCCUGCCACCAAUGCCCUUGAUGACUGCUGAAUAACAUCCAGACUAGAAUCCGCUGAGGGGAAGACGGGGUACCCGUGUGCUUGCUCUUUUUAAGAGCCUUUGAAGGACGAUGCCCCGUGGACUUUGAAGUCCGGGGUCGAUCGUCAGUGUCACAAAAUGGCGGCGGAGAGAUUGCAACGGCUGCAGUCACAAGAGGAAAUGAAGCCUGCGGGGCUGCAGGGACCGAAAAAUCGGCAGCGACGGGCGACGGAGGAGCUAAGCUACCCAACUGCUGUGGUAGUUGCGAACUCUCUGACAGGGAGCCCUGCAUGAUCUCCGUGGCAUGAGCCGCCUCCAUAAUAAGCCCCUCGAGCGCCAA